UGGGGUAUAUUGCACAAUGGAGGGAACUCUGAUGCAGCGACGCCGCGUGAACGAAGAAGGCUUUCGAGUCGUAAAGUUCUUUUAUAUGGGAAGAUAAUGACGGUACCAUAAGAAGAAGCCCCGGCUAACUACGUGCCAGCAGCCGCGGUAAUACGUAGGGGGCUAGCGUUGUCCGGAAUCACUGGGCGUAAAGGGUUCGCAGGCGGAAAUGCAAGUCAGGUGUAAAAGGCAGUAGCUUAACUACUGUAAGCAUUUGAAACUGCAUAUCUUGAGAAGAGUAGAGGUAAGUGGAAUUUUUAGUGUAGCGGUGAAAUGCGUAGAUAUUAAAAAGAAUACCGGUGGCGAAGGCGACUUACUGGGCUCAUUCUGACGCUGAGGAACGAAAGCGUGGGUAGCAAACAGG
rnacentral:rRNA from 1 species